CCCAGAGAAAACACCACAACACCAUACUCUCCAGAGCUCUGGACAAAGUCUUCCAUUUCCUGUAAAGGAAAGAAUUUGUUCCAUCACAAAAGAGAAAAUACAGAACACGGAGUAUUGUAAGGAAAUCUAUAUAAGUUAAGCAAGAACUCCUGGUUUCCUCCUCCCCUGGUUCAUUGUCUACCUUACUUCUACUUUCUGCUUCUCUGAAAUUGGCUAGUCAGGUAUUCAUGAAUGGAGUUUUGUGAUUGACCUUGGGCCAAAACCUUGUGAAGAUCCUUCAAUCAAUUCUUCUACAAUCUAGCCAGAAGUGGAACUGGAUUGUAAAUGUGCAUCUUUAAAGCCUGUGCCUUCACUUCUCACUGGUUGAUUGGCUACCUAUUGGGGAGUAAAACUCCUGAAACUUUGUCCUGAAGAAACAUCUGCUGACAUUGUUUUCGGCGGACACAACAUCUUUGUUUGUAUGUGGUGCUGAGGAUCGAACCCGGACCGCACGCAUGCCAGGCGAGCAUGCUACCACUUGAGCCAUAUCCCCCGCCCAGAGCUGCACUUUUCACUUCCCUCUUUAGCGCCUCUGUUCCUGCAUUGACAGUCACUUGUUCCUCUGCCUCAAGCAAGGGCUCUCAAGGAACUCAGGAUCCUCCAAAAGCAACUACUUGAGGUUGAAAGGGAAAAGGCUAAUUAGACAUAAACUGAAUAUGUUGUCCACUUAGAUGGGCUUCAAAGACAUUUAGAGGGACACAAGAUGUCUUGUCUCCCUCACCUAAAAUGAAGACUCCCUUAAAAGCCUUCUUCACACAUAUUUUAAUUCCAAGAAUCUUUACUCCAUAUUGAAUAUAUAAUCUCACCUUUUUGCAUUUUAUCAGAAACACAAUUUAGAUGAAAUAUUAUAUGGAGAUAAUAGCAGUAAGUUUUGUAUUACAGUGUUGCCCGAUUCAUGCCUAAAAUUUUAGAAUGGAAGCUGGAGAUCUGUGUGUCUGCAUGUUUAUGCCUGUAUGUGUGUAUGUAUGUGUGUAUGUGUUACAUGUUACAUAUAUUUGAUAUUUUCUCAGCUCUAGAUGAUAUGCCUAAUGGAAUAUAUAAAAUCUCUGAAUGGCUUUCUAUUCCUACCCACUGUGAUAUAAAUGAGCACUUACAUAAAUUAAACAUACCUAAAAUUACCAGAAAUGUAGAAAAAAUCAAAUACUUUCAAUAUUCACAUGGCUUAGUAAGUCUUUGGAAAAUAUGACUAGUUUGAUGUUAUUGGUUUACUAAAAACAGAUGUGUGACUCAGUUAUCAUCAUAAGUAUAAAAUGAGCUUAUAUUUUUAUUCCACCUGGGUUUACCAGUCACCUAUGGUUGCAAUUAGUUAUCAAGGAAAUAAUUUGAGAUGAGGUCUAGUAUUUUUGCUGUUAAGUGUGAAAAGUAUGUUUUCCUAAAACCAGUUUCCAAAAUCUUUUUGUUAAUUUGAUACCUUAGUUAUAUACUAAGUUAAAUUAAGGGAUAUUUGUUUAUUAGAUGUGUAGCCCAUUUCUACAUAAGACUAAAACACUUAAGUAUGCAUUCAUUUAAUUUUUACAUGUGGCUUUUAAGCAUAAUUAUAUUUGUGUCUGUUAAGAAAUAUAAGGAAUUAUUGAAUGAUAUAACAGUCCUAUAAGAAAACGUGUCACUAAAACAUUUGCUUGUCAAAUGGACUUUCAUCACAUCUUUAACUACUGCAGUUUGAUGAACCUGCCUAAAGUAGACAUGGAAAUGAAUGAUCUGAUAAAGAAGGAUUAUAAUAUUUUUGACAUUAAGUUUGAGAUUUUGCUGGAAUUUGAUGUUUUGUUUUCAUGAUUCAAGGCACCGUUUUUUCUUUUCCCGUACAGAAUUUUUCCAAAUAACAAAUUUGUAAUUUACAUUUUUUUAUAGAAAUUAAUCAUUUAUUGGCUUCCCUUUUUCUAAUCUCUACAGAAUUUGGAAACAACAUACUAGAUGCUCUUGCCAUUAGACGUUUAACUCUGUUUCCUAACUUGGCUUCCCAGGUUUCCCAGCCUCAGGAGGCUUUUAGAAGUCUAUCUGAGAUUUCUUUUGGAAAGAUCUGGCAAAGGAAACCUCCAAAGCAUUAUGAUCAAUUUCCAUUCUUGCUUCAUUGGUGAAAAUAAUCCACGCAAUACAAUGAAAUUAAACAUAUUUGGCCAGGAAGAAUUACUUUACUUUACCUAUCAUUUUUCAGAAAUGGAGUUGAGUGGUUGUAGGUAAAUUUCAUGUCACAGAGGAAUACCAUGACACACUAUUUUGUGUUAUUUUAACCUGUAAAUUGGACAGUGUCAUGUUGUGUCCAUCCUCACUAAAUUUUCAAUUCUAGGUUCCUCAUCAAACUAAAGUAUUCAUUGUUUCUGCUAUCUUCCUGGUGUAGGCUACCAGGAACAAAAUUGUGACUGUUUUUUUUUUUUUUUGUGUGUGUGUGACUCUCUAAAGAUUUCCCACAAAUUGAAGCUGGGUGGUUUCAUGCUUUGUUCUAAGAAAUCAUCUCAACUGUGACCUUGAUAUCUGUGCCAUCACUAAAAGCACUUAAAUUGCACAUCAGGAAAUUUGUCAGUUGUGAUAUCUGAGUACUAUGUUCUAUCUUCAGCAAGAAUUAUUGUUUUGGCCAAAAUUUCCUUGACUUCUGAUGUUUGUUCUUAGUAAUCUUUCAUCCACUGACCGUCACCCUGCACUUAGGCUGAACUUCAUCUUUCUCAUUCUUUUUCUGGAUAUCCUCUCUUUCCUUCUGUAUUGACACUGUCAUUUCCAUUUAACACAAAUGGAGAAAUCUUUUUAAAAUAGGAUUGAACUACCCAGAACUUCCAUUACUCUUAGGUGUGCUUUUGAAAUUGAAUUGCAACAUGUAGGCUCAAAGUUUGGCUUUAAGUACCUAUAUUUGGAUUUUAAAUAUUCAAUGAGAUCACAUACAAUCAUACUGCUAAUAAAAGAGUAGACAAAAAAAUCUCUUAAGUGAUCGCUUAAUAGUGAAAUAAAUGAUUGCUGUUUAAUGUAACAGCUCUGUGUUUGGGAUUGUAUAGGGAUUCUGGCCCUGAAAAUGUAAAGAGCAGCAUUCCCAUGGUGAGAAAGCACAAGGGGGAAGUGGGAUAGCAGGCACUCUGCUUCCCACCCUUAGAAUGCCCAAUAAUUUUUCUGAGGAUUUAAUAAUACAGCUAAUUUAUAUGCUAUGUCCAGCUUGUGUGGCAAUGCCCUGAGACCUCUGUGUUAGACCCUCAUCAAGCCUCAACCUUGAUUGCAGGCACAUACUCCUGGGAAUAGAAAAACUUGUUUGAUAGAUAACUACAACGUUUCAUCAAGCUUCUGUGCCCUUGGAGCUGCCCGCCUAACAUUCAGACAGUGGCUUUUCUUGAGAACUGCACAAAGCUCCUAACACUGCUUAUUGCAAUUGUGAAAUGUUACUGCAGAAUAAGCAACCUUACUGAUACUCUAAACAAUAAUGUGGUUAUGGUACUAAUGACCUGAUGUAACCUAUUGGUAUAAAUAAAUGUGGCCACUUGGACAAAGAGCCAAUCUUCCACCUUCCCUGCUUCUGCACUUUGACUCUGUCUCCUCUUUAUUAUUAUUCCUUACAGGAUUGGGUCUCUGAUGGCUUUAUGACUUUGGCAUGCUUGGUGGCUAGGAAGUUUCUGUGCAAAGACACAGAAUGCCUAGCUGCUGUAUCAAUGACCUGCAUGAGGAGUCUCUGUGGUAGAGUCUUACCAUUCUCAAUUUUCAUCUUAGGCACAUAGCUCAUGGGAAUAAAGAAAUUCUCUUGUUAAACAACCACAAUGUUUCACCAAACUCUGCUGCCUGAACCUGCCCACAUAAUAGUAACUUUAAACAAUGGAUUUUCUUGAGAGCUAUACAAAGCUGCUAACAUUGUACACUGCAACUAUAGUGUGUAACUGAGAAAAAAGCUGCAUAAUGUUGCUAACUCUGUAUCCUGCCUAAUGACACAAUGAACAAUAAUGUAUUACUGAUGCCAGUGACCUAAUGUAACCUAUUGAUAUAAAUAAAGCUGGCAACUUGGCCAUUCUGCCUCUGCA